GGGCGCUUGGCACAGGGGUAGCGCGCACGCUUCGCAUCACUGAUUGCGUGAGGUCGUGGGUUCAAAUCCCACAGUGUCCA
rnacentral:tRNA from 1 species